rnacentral:rRNA from 1 species
GACGAACUGUCCUAACGUUGUUCGGAAUCACUGGGCUUAAAGGGCGCGUAGGCGGUCGAACAAGUCAGGGGUGAAAUCCUGCAGCUUAACUGUAGAAGUGCCUCUGAUACUGGAUGGCUUGAGUUUGGGAGAGGGAUGCGGAAUUCCAGGUGUAGCGGUGAAAUGCGUAGAUAUCAGAAGGAAGGCCGGUGGCGAAGGCGGCUUCCUGGAACAGACCUGACACUGAGAGACGAAAGCGUGGGGAGCAAACAGG